CUGGCUAAUUCUCAUGGAACACUGCAAUUAUCACCUACAGGAUAGGUGUUAAGUGCUGCCUUCAGAAGGCAAUUAUCAGC